rnacentral:rRNA from 1 species
UACGGAGGAUCCGAGCGUUAUCCGGAUUUAUUGGGUUUAAAGGGUGCGUAGGCGGCCUAUUAAGCCAGGGGUGAAAGACGGUAGCUUAACUAUCGCAGUGCCUUUGAUACUGAUAGGCUUGAAUGUACUUGAGGUAGGCGGAAUGUGACAAGUAGCGGUGAAAUGCAUAGAUAUGUCACAGAACACCAAUUGCGAAGGCAGCUUACUAAAGUAUGAUUGACGCUGAGGCACGAAAGCGUGGGGAUCAAACAGG